AUUUCAAAAAUGUGAUGUAAUCCAGUAUUGUUUUACAUCACUUCAAGUUACAAGACGCCAUCCAACCUAAUCGUAAUGUUUUAAAUGUAGUAUUGAAACUUAUCUCAAGACGGCAAAGAUUCAACACCAAUUUUUAAAAACACCUGUGAAAAAAGACAAUGAAAAAAAAAAAGUUUUGACUGAACAGGUGUUUUAAAAACCCUCACUAAACGUACAACAAGUUCAGUCAUGACCCACUAAAUGAAGAUAAAUCGUUAAUGGGUGUAAUAAUGCUGUUGUGCUGUGUGACAUGAGAGUGUAACUUCCUGAUGUAUUUCCUUUCUCUUUUAAAAGGUACAGACACACUUUCAGUCAUUGAGGGAGCAGCACAUCAGACAACAAAUUACACACACACACACACACACACAUACCAAGAACAACUGAUCUGGAAGGGACAUGGGCAAACCACUACUUCUGAUUCUCAUUAUCAUCACUGAGAUAAUAGCUGACAGCAUUGAUCCUGAUCGGGACCGUGUAAGUCACCCAGAAGGAAUGAAAACAGUUACCCUGAAAUGUUCAUAUCAGACAAGCAGCCGUGAUGUUCACCUUCACUGGUACAGACAGUAUCCUCAUCAGGCACCACAAUGGCUUCUAUACAAAGGUGCGCGAUCAUUCCGUAGGGAUGAGAGCUCAGACCCACGAUUUACCUCUAAUACUGGUGAAACAUUUACUGAACUCAUCAUUAAAGAUCUGACUCUGGCAGACACAGCUCUCUACUACUGUGCUCUGAGGGUAGCCCAGUGAUACAAAGACCCUGAGAAGCUGUACAAAAACUUACAUUUUAAAUAGGAUGCUUUUUAUUCAGAGAUCAAAGCAAUUUCCUCUCAGUGCUCUGAUAUCAGUUUUACACCAUCAGAGGUUUUCUGGUGAAAAUAGUCUGUGGUCACACCUGUUGCAUCAUUGAAAUGCAUGCUGUUGUAAUAAACUGUUACACACAAUACAAAUGACAUGCAAUCCAACAACAUUGAAAAUGCAAUAAAUGUAUAUACUGCUAUAAUCCUCUGUGUCAUAUCCCCCCACCCAGCAAACUCCCUCACCACCACAAAUGAGACAAGCAGCCAUUCUGUUGUACUGCACUGGUA